rnacentral:rRNA from 1 species
UACGGAGGGUGCAAGCGUUUAAUCGGAAUUACUGGGCGUAAAGCGCACGCAGGUGGCUGAGUCAGUCGAUUGUGAAAGCCCUGGGCUUAACCUGGGAAUUGCAGUCGAUACUACUCAGCUAGAGUACUGGAGAGGGAAGUGGAAUUCACGGUGUAGCAGUGAAAUGCGUAGAUAUCGUGAGGAACACCAAUGGCGAAGGCAACUUCCUGGACAGUUACUGACGCUCAGCACGAAAGCGUGGGAGCAA